rnacentral:pre_miRNA from 12 species
UGGAUCCUCCCUUAGCUCUCUGCUGUGGCUUAUGGCUUUUCAUUCCUAUGUGAUUGCUUUUCCCAACUCAUGUAGGGCUAAAAGCCAUGGGCUACAGGGAGGGGAGAGCCUCCUCUUGCGA